GGGCCUGUAGCUCAGCUGGUUAGAGCGCACGCCUGAUAAGCGUGAGGUCGAUGGUUCGAGUCCACUCAGGCCCACCA
rnacentral:tRNA from 1 species